rnacentral:lncRNA from 1 species
UUCCUGCAGUUAGUGGGAGAGUAAUUUCUCCUUCUAAGGUGACUGCAUCUCCAGUGAAACCGACUAAUGACAUCGAGACUCUUCUGAGUCGGUCAGUCGAUAGUCGCAUUUGAGAAAAAGUUGAGUAAAACAAAACAUCAUUUGAACUUUUAUUAUCUACCAAGGUUCAUUUUACAUCAUAAUUUACUAUCAUAGUCGAGAUGAUGACAGCAUCAUCAUGGAG